CUGGUGGAUCGAACACAGCAGGAGAAAAAGGAGAGGGGUGUAAACCCUAAUCCAUGAAGAACCUCCAAAUUGACAAGGAAAUUAGGCUCAAAAUCGGAAGCAUGAACUGAGAUUAUGAUCAUUCGGGUGUUCUUCACAUCAAGAUAGGCACAUGCCAUUUUGGGCGCGAACUCGGGAGGCAACGAGACGAACAUAUGGAAUACGUAUCAACUACUUACGGGUCAAGGUGGCUUAAUUGUGAAUUCUAGUGGAGGUUGAUUCACAAGUUGGAAGCGAUAGUUGACUAUGAAAUUAAUGGAGUCGAGUUCGUUGGAAGUUUGUGAAAAAUAUAGAUCAGAAUCCACCUAUUUGAGUUAUUUAAUAUAUAUUAUAUAUAGAACUCAUAACGUGCAUGUUGGGUUUCAGCUAUAAUGGGAACUAGAGGUUCGCGGACUGAUGAAUGGAACAAGGUUUGGCGACAAAUCCGAGAUCGGUUCAGUAAUGUCGGUUCGUCCAUCCGUCAGGUUAUAUCGCCGACUUAGACGGGUCAUCAUGUUUUACUUGCCUUUUUAGGCAUUCGGUAGUUUUAAACCGUGUAAGCUUCAUGAGUCAGACGUAGUGUCUUGUUUUGUUUAUGUUCAAGUUUAGAGUUGUAAAAUGGAUUGUAAACAGGUUUUGUUAUCGUAACGGUUAUCCGUAUUACAAACGGGUCAUGCCGAAAUUUUAUAAAAAUUGGCAUGAAAUAUGUAAGUGUUUAAAUGAUGGUAACUAUCAAAUGAAAGUCAAGACACUAUAAUUGUUUCUAGAAAUUGAAGCUAAAAAAAAUGGGCCUACAUUCCGCAUAGUAAGAAUGUUUAGAAAAUUUAUGGGGAGACUUGUAACACCCCAAAAAUGUUUAUCAUGAAAAUAAGUUAAAAUAUUAAAAACUUAACUUAGUUAGUUAAAAAGGAAAAUGUGUUGUAAAUAUUAGUUAAGUGAUGGAAAAGGGGCCUAAUUAAAAGAAAUGUAAAAACUAGAAGGGCUAGAUGUGAAUGAUACUAAAAUAGGGGUAUUAGAAGGUGGAAACGCAAAACACACACAUCUGUGCGUGUCUGGGGUCGAACAAGCAGAGGAAACAAGGGUGAAACCUUGUUUACUAAAUUCAAUCAAUUGGAUAGGAGAUUUGAAGAUAAUCAACUGCAUGAACUCGAAUCUACACCCAUCCAAAGUCGAUAUUGAAGUGGCGUGAAGGAAGAAAGUUCAAGUGCUAGGAAAACGGAAAAACACACAAGGUUGAGGUAAAUCCUCAACCUAGGCGACUGGGCGACUUGGAGCGACGCACACACACUUAUUAUGACCAUUUUGCGCUUCCGCUAUUUUGUCUUAAAGCUAUGGGUCAAAAAUACUUUGUUAGGAACAAGCUUGUUAGUAGUUAACUUUUAAACAUGUUGUUAUGGUUUUUAGUCGAGUCUUUUGAACGGGUCGUAGUCUUAACUGUAACAUUGUUGGUUGAAACAGGGAUACGCUCGUCGUAUCGACGAGUUAUGCCCAAAUUUUGUUAGACUCGCAUAUCAAUGUUAAUAGUAUCUUUACUUUCAAAA